rnacentral:rRNA from 1 species
AACGAACGCUGGCGGCAUGCCUAACACAUGCAAGUCGAACGGGAUCCAGGCUUCGGCCUGGUGAGAGUGGCGGACGGGUGAGUAACGCGUGGGAACCUGCCCAAUGGUCUGGGAUAACCGCGGGAAACUGCGGCUAAUACCGGAUAAGCCCGAGAGGGGAAAGAUUUAUCGCCGAUGGAGGGGCCCGCGUCAGAUUAGGUAGUUGGUGGGGUAAUGGCCUACCAAGCCUACGAUCUGUAGCNGGUCUGAGAGGAUGAUCAGCCACACUGGGACUGAGAUACGGCCCAGACUCCUACGGGAGGCAGCAGUGGGGAAUAUUGGACAAUGGGGCAACCCUGAUCCAGCAAUGCCGCGUGAGUGAUGAAGGCCUUAGGGUUGUAAAGCUCUUUUGCCAGGGACGAUGAUGACGGUACCUGGAGAAUAA